rnacentral:rRNA from 1 species
UACGAAGGGGGCUAGCGUUGCUCGGAAUCACUGGGCGUAAAGGGUGCGUAGGCGGGUCUUUAAGUCAGGGGUGAAAUCCUGGAGCUCAACUCCAGAACUGCCUUUGAUACUGAAAGUCUUGAGUAUGGGAGAGGUGAGUGGAACUGCGAGUGUAGAGGUGAAAUUCGUAGAUAUUCGCAAGAACACCAGUGGCGAAGGCGGCUCACUGGCCCAUUACUGACGCUGAGGCACGAAAGCGUGGGGAGCAACAGG